UACCCGCCCGCCACUGCUACCCAACCCAACCCGCGGCUUCUCUGGGUGGGGUUUCGAUUUUGGUUUUGGUUGGGAGUACAGACCUAGGAUAUACAUUUUGCUUUGCUACGCGCGCGCAUCCAGGUUGUUGAACGAUACGCACUCUGCUCGAUUUAGGAUCUUUGUCGCUUGCCAUGGCUAGCUGGGCAAUAAGAGGUUAACCAUUCAGCUCUGUGUUUGUUCCAAAUUCAGUUUGGGCAGGUAGGCUUUGCUGUUACGUGAUCCCACCAUUAUGUUCUAGCCUAGGAAUCGGUAGCAUUCACAGUGAAUCCAGUAGAUCGGUAGGCCCUGGAUUGCUGUACGUCAAGAUGCUUAGUGAUUCAGUGCUAAUAAUACCAUUUAAUUGAGAUUCAGUGCUAGUACUAUUUGUUGAAAACUGUACUCAACUUCCUUGGCAUCAAUGGCAGUAGUGAAAGAAAAUAUUCUAAUUCAUCUUUUUUGUUUAAUGGACUUGAUUUUCUCAUAUCUGAAAUGUCGGUUUUGCAUGGGCCUUGAUUAUUAAGCUAGAACUGUGGCACUAUAAGUGAGGUAGCAGUAGCAGUAGCAACCUUCAGUGUCUACUUUCGUUUUUGUUAUCCAAGAGAAUAGCUUCAUAUUUGUAAUUUUGCAUUUCCUUAGCACUUUUAAUGUAUACAAUUGAAGGCGUAUUUUUUGGCUCGUAGUUGGGUUGCCCAAGAUCCAAUGCUCAUGCCUUUUCCAUUCUAUUCUAAUGCAGAGUCUAUACACUUACAGCAUGUAGAUUCUGAGCGGUAUAACAUCUUCUAAGUGAUUGGAUUUUGUUACUAUGAAGUCUGACUGAAAUUUAGAUGUUUCACUCCAUACUAAUCGAAAGAGCCUUUUGAUCUAUGUCUAAACUGAGAAUAGUGGGUCUGCUCAUCAGUAAUUGAUAUAUGUCCUUUCACUCCAUUCUUCAAUUGUUUUUUGAAGUCAAAUCCCUUGUGUUUUAUUCUUAUUAUUUUGUGAUGAUUACUUGGUCACCAUUAUAUCUUGUAACUAUUCAAUUUAUUUGAGCAUCGAUAAUUAUGGUAUUUAUUGAUUUAUUGAAACUGUCCCUGUAUUUUCUUUUUUUUUAAAAAAAAGAAAAUAUAUUUUAGUUGGUUGUUCAGUUUAUUCCCCAAUUUAACAUCUGUCCUUUUGGUAAGUCUCCUAGCCUUGCUGCGUAGAUUGUAGGGUGGGGAGUAGAUGGGAUUGGAGCGUGUUCGUUGGCGGCGGUGGGGAGCCGUCGCGUUCAGGGAUUAGGGCACACGAGAGGAACGCCGGGCGCCCUAGGGUGUCGAGUUGACACAAUCCCUGGCUAUCUUUAUUCAUCUGAUAUGAUAGCCUUUUAUAGGCAAUUACAAACUGACUCUUACUAGGAUUAUAGAAUAAGAAACAAACUCUAAGACUUCUAAGAUUUCCUAAACUAAUCCAGAGUCCUAGACUCAUACUAGUUACUGAGGCUAUGCGGCCAGCAUAUGGGCCAAGCUGGACGCUGCAGCUCAGCCCUGCUCUCUAGCCUUGCGCCUCUCAUAUGUCUUGCCCACCAUAACAUCUCUCCCCUCCUCGGGAAAUAGCUCAUCCGCGAGAUGGAACGAUGGAUGAGCUUCACGAAAUGCUGGAACUGGCUCCCACGUAGCUUCAGAUGUGGGCAUGCCCUCCCAUGCCACCAGAACAUGCCAAACGCCCCGACGAAGCUCCGAGCGCAACACCCUGUCCGGCUGUCGGAGUGGCCUCCCGUGACGAAGAGGAGGUAGCACCGGGUCACUCUGAGGAGGCGGACCGCGGAACGGCUUCAACACGCCCACAUGAAAGACGUCGUGGAUCCGAGCUCCUCCGGGAAGGCGCAAACGAUACGCGACGUCACCCAUGCGCUCGAGCACCUGAAAAGGACCGGCGUAUUUGGGACCGAGUUUGCCACGCCCGCCCGGAACCAAAGCCUGCGUAUGACGAUGUAACAUGCGCAGCAAGACCCAGUCGCCGACAGCAAACUCCAGUGCACGGUGCUUGGCGUCGUAAAAGCGGCGCGCAUAUUCCUGAGCGUGGAGCAGGCGAGCGCGCACCUCCUCCAAGAACUCGUCUCUGUCAGCCAGCAGAUUAUCGACCGCAUCGGUAUGCGCUGUCCAAGAUGUAUAAGGUAACAGGGCCGAAGGAGCACGCCCAUAGACGACCUGGAACGGCGUGGCUUGGAGCGCAGUGUGGUACGCCGUGUUGUAGCAAAACUCCGCCCAAGGCAACCAAUCAAGCCAGUCGCGAGGGCGAUCUCCUGUAAGGCAGCGAAGAUACAUAGUGAUCGUCUUGUUGACCACCUCCGAUUGUCCGUCCGUCUGAGGAUGAAACGCCGUGCUCAUUCGCAGCUUGACACCGGCAUGGCGGAAGAGGUCACGCCACACAUGGCCCGUGAACACCGGAUCGCGGUCACUCACAAUGGACUCCGGAAAGCCAUGAAGGCGAACGAUCUCUUGGAAGAACGCUCGAGCGACGGAAGACGCCGUGUAGGGGUGGCCCAAUGCGAUGAAGUGCGCAUACUUCAAAAAUCUGUCCACCACCAUGAGCAGCACACUUUUGCCAUGCACUUUGGGCAAAGCUUCGACGAAGUAGAUGGAGAUAUCGGCCCAAACGCGAGAAGAAACCGGCAGAGGUUGUAAGAGACCAGCCGGGUGCAGCGUCUCAGUCUUAUUCUGCUGACACGUUGGGCACGAUCUGACGAAUUCGCCCACAAGGCGGCGGUCAUGCUCGACGUAGAAGUGCUGCCAUAGCCGCUGCAGAGUACGCUGAAUCCCUUCGUGGCCACCGGUGUGAGCGAGCUGGAGCACAUCGUCCAGACGGGCAGAUGUGGCGGGGACGUAGACACGCCCUUCGUACAGCGUGAGGCCAUCCCGGACUGUCCAGGCUGGACCGAGCGCCCCAGUGCCCGCGGCUUCGCGGUGUUGGCGUAGCGCGUCCUCUGUGUCUAGCUCGUGGCGGAUGUCGUCGUAGAGUUGAAACGUCGGGGUUGACAAGGCUGUCAGGAGGGGACCUGCAUGUGGAACAGCCGCCAGCAGAGGGACAUCGCCAUCCCGUCGGGACAGAGCGUCGGCCACCACGUUUCCUUUGCCUGGACGAUAUUCCACACUGAAAUCAUAUCCAAACAACUUGCUUACCCAUUGGUGCUGAGGGAUCGUCGACAGGCGUUGGUCCAGCAUGAACUUGAGGGCGUAGUGAUCGGUGCGGACGACGAAGGUGCAUCCCCAUAAAUAUGGUCGCCAAUGGUGAAUGGCUUAGACGAGCCCAAUAAGCUCGCGCUCGUAAGCCGCCGUCUUGAGGUGUCGGGCUGCAAAGGGGCGACUGAAGAAUGCAAUGGGACGCCCCUCUUGAUGUAGGACAGCGCCGAAACCGAAGCCUGAUACGUCGCAGUCCACGACGAAUGUCGCGGCGAAGUCCGGCAACUGGAGCACCGAGGCUGAGCAUAGAGCCCCCUUGAGCGCCGAGAAAGCUGUGUCCGCCUCUUCAGACCAGCGAAACCCCUCUCUGGGCCAGGGGCGCCGUGAUCGUACCAUAGUCCCUGAUAAAGCGGCGGUAGUAUCCUGAGAGGCCAAGAAACCCGCAGAGGCCGCGUGCUGAGCGCGGUUGUGGCCAAGACUGAACUGCAACAACUUUGGUGGCGUCCAUGGCCACCCCUUCAUUGGAGAUAACAUGGCCCACAUAAUGGACCGAAGUGGUGGCGAAGGUGCACUUAGAACGCUUGAGAUGCAGGUGAUGCUGGCGAAGGACGUCGAAGACGGCCCGGAGAUGUUGGAGGUGCUCUAUCCAUGUGGCACUGUAUACCAGUAUGUCAUCGAAGAACACCAGGACGCAGCGACGCAAGAACGGCUUGAGGACGAUGUUCAUAAGUGCUUGGAACGUCGAAGGAGCAUUUGACAGGCCGAAGGGCAUGACCAGAAAUUCGAAGUGGCGAUGGUGCGUCCUGAAGGCCGUCUUUUCAAUAUCCCCAGCGUGAACGCAGACCUGAUGGUAGCCCGACCGGAGAUCCAGUUUAGUGAAGAAGUUGACGCCGUGCAGUUCGUCGAGCAACUCUUCGACGACCGGGAUCGGGAAUUUGUCUUUGACCGUCACCGCGUUGAGCGCCCUGUAAUCGAUGCAAAAACGCCAGGACGUGUCGUGCUUGUGGACCAACAAGACCGGCGCCGAAAAGGGGGACGUGCUCUCCCGAAUGACCCCCUGUUGGAGCAUAGCGUCGCAUUGUCGCUCUAGCUCAUCCUUUUGGAGAUGUGGGUAGCGAUAGGGGCGCACCGCGAUCGGCUCUGUGCCUGGCUUCAGGUGGAUGCGAUGAUCACAGGGCCGUUCGGGGGGCAGCCCUAUCGGUUCAGUGAAGAGAUCGGCGAACAAGUCGAGCAGGCGCUCCAGGAGGGUCGGCUCAGCCCCCUUGUCGAUGUAGAUAGUGCUGGCGAGGUGGGUGCGAGCCUGCUGUGCGGUAGACGUCGCGUUGGGCGAGCCGACGCCCGUCCACAAUACCCAGCGGCCCUGGAGAACAAACGCCAUACGGAGGCCGUCGAAGUCCCACAAGAUGGGGCCUAGAGUUCUCAGCCAUGAGAUCCCCAGAACCAUGUCGUAAUGGGGCAGGGGCACGGCGAAGCAGUCCACCGCGAAGUGCGUGUCCUCGAUCUGGAGGGGCACAGCACGGUUGAGACCCCGACAAGCGACCUGGUCGCCGUUGGCCACAACGACGUGUGUGCUGGGGUGGUCAUCCACCUGGAGUCCGGCACGGCGCGCCGCGGCAACGUCGAUGAAGUUAUGUGUGCUGCCCGAAUCGAGGAGAGCAGUAAACCAGUGCGUCCCGAUCUGGACAGGGAGCUGCAUUGUCUUCUCCACCCGUAUGCCCGUGAUCGCGGCCAGGGAGAUCAUGGGUUUUUCAGGAUCGAAAGGAGCGUCCGCAGGUGCGGUGUCGUCGUCCGGUUCCUCCACCACAUAAUCGGCUGCCUCCAAGAAGAAUAGGCGUGCACACUUGUGUCCCCGCACAUAAGGCUCGUCACAAUUAUAGCAAAGGCCCAUCUUGCGCCGAUCAGCCAUCUCCUCCGGGGUCAGCUGCUUGAAGGGUCGCGUAGAUGUCGCUGAUGCGGUUGUCGAACCCGCCGGCGCCGGCAGGGCGGCCAGUGUGGUCGGGGCACGCCGUGCUGGCCGCUAGCCCGGGGCCUGUGCAGCGUUGUGGCGCUCAUACGCUCGCGCCAGACGCAUAGCCUGCUGCAAGUCUUGAGGGUCCAUGAGUUCGACAUCGACCCGGAUGUAUUCGGGCAAUCCCCCCAUGAACAGGCAAGCCUUCUGCAAGGUGGAGAGGUCGUCGGCAUGAGCGGCUCAUGCCUGGAACGCCGCCAUAUACUUGUCGACUGAGCCACCGAACGGAAGCCGCGUCAGUUCGGCCAGGUGAUUCGUGCUGAGCGCCGGGCCAAAACGUUGCUGACACAUGCGGCGGAAGUCAGGCCAGGUCGGGCGACCCAUGUCUGCCUCCAAGACCAUGUACCAUUGGAGGGCGACAUGCUGGAGGUGAUAUGACGCGAGCCAGGUCUUCUCCACCUCCCGCGUAUUUUGACCGCGGAAGAAUUGCUCACACUUGUUGAGCCAGCCGAGAGGGUCGCAAGUGCCGUCGUAAGUUGCGAAGGUGAGCUUGUGGUAUCUGGGAACGGCAACCCCAUCGGUCUCUGCAGUGGGGGGAACCGCCGGUGGGCGCGUCGACAGGUGCGAUGUCGGUGCGACGAAGUAUGGCAUACCCACCGAAGGAAACACAGGCUGCGGUGACGGUGAGUGAGGAAAGACGAUGUGGUUUAUUGGAACGCCGCCCGGCGGUGGAUGUGUUCGCGGUGCCGCCCCUGGUGGUCCGGUGGCGGCCAGCGGGACCGAGGUCGACGGCGUGAAGGAGACCGAGUCCAAAGCCGCCGAGACUUCCGAGAUCACGGACGCCGAGGAAGCCGGCAGCGCCUGGACUCCGCCGAACCCAGGCAUCCCGAACUGAGUAAACGCCGGUUGGCCAUCGAUAGCCGAGAGGCGCGUGGCCUGGCUUGCCAGGUGCUGGUUGACAGCCGUCAUCUGCAACUGCAUGCUAGUGAGGGCCGUCGUCAAGGCAUUGAGGGCCUCGGCGACUGAAGAGAUGCCUGGUGGUGGUGCCGAUGAGGUGGUGACGAGGGGCAGGGUGGGGGCGGCCGUAACGCCGACCGUGGAAACGCCCGUCAUCAGCGGCACAGGAGCGGAAGGUUCCCCAGACGUGGCCAUCGUCUCUGAUACCAAGUUGGUAAGUCUCCUAGCCUUGCUGCGUAGAUUGUAGGGUGGGGAGUAGAUGGGAUUGGAGCGUGUUCGUUGGCGGCGGCGGGGAGCCAUCGCGUUCAGGGAUUAGGGCACACGAGAGGAACGCCGGGCGCCCAAGGGUGUCGAGUUGACACAAUCCCAGGCUAUCUUUAUUCAUCUGAUAUGAUAGCCUUUUAUAGGCAAUUACAAACUGACUCUUACUAGGAUUAUGGAAUAAGAAACAAACUCUAAGACUCCUAAGAUUUCCUAAACUAAUCCAGAGUCCUAGACUCAUACUAGUUACUGAGGCUAUGCGGCCAGCAUAUGGGCCAAGCUGGACGCUGCUGCUCAGCCCUGCUCUCUAGCCUUGCGCCUCUCAUAUGUCUUGCCCACCAUAACACCUUUACAGAAUUAGCACGGAGCAUGAAAAGUUUGGUUUUGAAGUCGACACAAUCAUGGGUUUGUAGGAAAGAUACGAAAUAAUGAGGAAUUAGUGCCUAAAGUUGGUACUCUUGGCCUUGAUAUGAUGUUGUGGACAUGUACUGUGCAGGUGAGCAUAUUUUUAUUUUUUAUGCUUUUCUGACAUAGUCUUAUUCACCUUUAUUUUGGUAGUUGUUGGGCUUUACUCAGUUUGUUUAAAGAUUCCUGUCCCCCCUACUCCUGCUUCAAGUGUAUCCAUAUGUUUUAGCUGAACUAGAACAUGCAGCCUUAGAAAAAAUAUGACUGAAAUUCUUAAAGUGUAUGUUUUUGCUCUCAUAUGUUUCUCUGGUUGGCACCUUAGGUGCCUGAUAUAAACCACCUUCAAGGAAAUGCCUCGUUUGCAUUUGUUCUUGUAAAAGGAUAUCAGUCAGCAAGCACAAAAGUCGAUUGUGGAAGAGUGCACUAGUCAUCUUUUUUGUCAAUUCUAUAGGUCCAUCAUACUAGUUAGUAGGAUGGAUCUAGUUAGAGUAGUGAAAAUCUGAAUUUUAUUUGUAAAGGAUGUGUUUCCUGAACUACACAAACUAUGAACGAACAAUCUUGAAGUUUAUUUCCUGUAACAAAUGUGGCAGGCCAAGAUAGUUUACUUCUACUCUUUGUAUAUUUGGAUGAUGACUCUGACUUAUGUGAUAUGGUCAGAUUUGGUAUUAUAUAUAUGUUGUGCUGUUGUUCGAUUGGAUUUGAAA